GCGCGCGUUGUCCUCGUUCA
rnacentral:misc_RNA from 1 species